AUCCAACUGAAGAAUCUCAAAUAGAACGAAACGCGCAUUUUAGAU
rnacentral:hammerhead_ribozyme from 1 species